GGAGUCCGGGCCCUCAGCCCCUCCUCCCUCAGACCCAGGAGUCCGGGCCCCCAGCCCCUCCUCCCUCAGCUCUGGGGCCUGGGCCCCGCCCCGGGUAUAAGGCUGGCCUUUGGAGAGGACUGUGUCUGCUUGGCCGUGCUGGAAAUGAUGCUGAAGAUGGUCCAGAUGGUGAUGCUGGUCUUCUCUGGAUGGGGGAGCAGUCUGAGCCCUUUGGGGCGGGAACCAGAGCCACGCAGUGUGGCAGGGGGUGGGGUUUCUUCCCGACGUCAGCAUGCUCCAGCUGCGACCAGAUGAGGGGCACAGAGUCGCCCACGGCCUGAGACUUGAAACUGCGCUUGAGUGCCUGGCAUGGGGUUUCGCCACGUCUCCCAGGCUGGUCUCGAACUAUUGGACUUCAGUGAUCCACUUGCUUCGUCCUCCCAGAGUGCUAGGAUUACAGGCGUGACCACCAUGCCUGGCCAAUGUCAGGCUAUCUUUCUAUAUCCGAAGCAGGCC